UACAGAGGUCCCGAGCGUUGUUCGGAUUCACUGGGCGUAAAGGGUGCGCAGGUGGGCUGGUAAGUUCGAUGUGAAAGCCCCGGGCUUAACCCGGGAAAGGCAUUGGAUACUACUGGUCUGGAGGAUUGGAGGGGGGACUGGAAUUCUUGGUGUAGCAGUGAAAUGCGUAGAUAUCGAGAGGAACACCUGCGGCGAAGGCGGGUAGCUGGGCCGACACUGACGCUGAUGCGCGAAAGCCAGGGGAGCGAAGCGGG
rnacentral:rRNA from 1 species